CAGAGAUGUCCCUUGUGUUCGGUCGAAUCGUUGCCUCAAGAACUCCGAUUCUCCCGCUACACAAGGGCAUUCUCGUUUACGGCGCGCUCACCAGACCAAGUUCAUCGGUGGAUCCGG
rnacentral:sRNA from 1 species